rnacentral:rRNA from 1 species
GUCUUUGUGAUUUUUAUCUAAAGUCUAACCUGCCCAAUGAUGUUAAUUUAAUGGCCGCGGUAUCUUGACUGUGCGAAGGUAGCAUAAUAAUUAGUCUUUUAAUUGAAGGCUGGAAUGAAAGGUUGAACAAGAAAUUAGCUGUCUCUGAGUUAAAUUUUGAAUUUAACAUUUAAGUGAAAAGGCUUAAAUAUUUUAAGGGGACGAUAAGACCCUAUAAAUCUUUAUAUUUUGGUUUAUGAAAUAAAAAAAUGGAAUAACUUUUAUCUAAUAAAUUAAAAUAUUUUGUUGGGGCGACAGAAGCAUAAAUUGUUAACUGCUUUGUAAUGAUAGUUAGACGAUAUCUAAUUAGUGAUCCUUUAAUAAAGAGUAUUAGAUGAAGUUACUUUAGGGAUAACAGCGUAAUUUUUCCUGAGAGUUCUUAUCGAAGGAAAAGGUUGCGACCUCGAUGUUGAAUUAAAGAUCCUUUGUGGUGCAGAAGUUACAAGAGGAGGUCUGUUCGACCUUUAAAUCUUUACAUGAUUUGAGUUCAGACCGGCGUAAG